UCUUUUUUCUUUUUUUUUUUUUAACUGUCAAGUUUGAUAAUGAUAGGAUGGAAAGAGGAGGCAGAAGGGUUUUUUAUUUUUAUCUUUUAAUGUUAUUCAAUUUCUUCUGGUUGCUAAAUUUGGUGAAACUUCUGGGUUUUUGCUUCUGAGAUUGAGACAUCAUUUUCUGGAUGGUUCCAGUAAGGAGAAAUAUGGAAAUUGGAAUGCUUGCUUUUUCUCUGGACUUUGGAAAAGAUGCUUUCUUUCUUUUUGCUUUUU
rnacentral:misc_RNA from 1 species